AGAGCCGCAGCCGCCGCGCAGGCAGGGCCGGGCCGGGCCGGGUGCGCGGGCACAAAGGGGCCGCUGCACAUGGCAGGCAGGCGAGCAGAUGCCAGCAGACAGCUUUUGUCGUCCAGUCUCCCAGUCAUCCGCCUGACCUGCUCCUGUCUGAACAUCCUACCGCGAGUCAAGGCAAAUGGGCUCAGCCGCUGUUCCACUCCACCCAGGCUUGGAGUGGACUCCCCGUGAGCCUGCAGAGGGGCAGGAUGCUGAGUAGCAGGCCAUGCGGGUGCGCCCGGGGUCUCACCCCAGCCCCAGGGAAGAGGCUGUUUCAUUCAGUGAACCAAGAGAGUAAAAUAAAUUAAACAUGGAGAAACCCAGAAGAAAAAAAGAAA
rnacentral:lncRNA from 10 species